GAAGCGACGCCGAUCUCCUCCUCCUCUUCAUCGCGUCGCCCACACCCGACCACCUCCUCAUCUUCCCCCCAAGACGAUCCUCUCCCUCACCCUAUUCCUCUUCUCAAUACAAGCCGACAACCUCUCUACCUGAUCCCAUUUCUUCCCCUCUUCAUCACUGUUCUUCUUCUGAUCCACUGCAGUCAGCCCGAGCGCCACUCGAGUGUCGCCUUUCGGAACAACGUUGGUGUGGCGCUAUCUUCUCCAUGAGAAGAUCACUCGACGAGGUGGUAGAUCUAUCGCCAAGAUCUAUUUCUGAUCGCCUAGGCGCUGCGCCAACCAUCGCUGGAGACCAUCUCCUCUCCCGAUUUGCCGCGAGUCACAGUGCCUAGCCACUUCUCGCAACAUGCAUCCAAGCUUGUUGUUGUGCCCUAGUUCCAAACCACCGCCGACCAUUUUUGGUCUUUCCGAUCAGAGACACCAUCUUCAACAAAAGCAUGCAGAUCGGGAUUUAGGGUUGAAGCUGUCAGGAGGUUCCAGUCGCUAGUCCCCACCCUGAGUCGUGACAGUUUUCUACCUUUGGACUUGUGAUUUCCUUGUUAUAUUUUUAUAUAUUUAUGAUGUAUAACUGUAGUCGUGG